GUAAGUAUAGUUUAACCAAAAUAUUAGAUUGUGAUUCUAAAGACAGGGGUUAAAAUCCCCCUACUCACC
rnacentral:tRNA from 1 species